AGUAAAUUUACUUUUUGUAAUUUUGUCCACGAGUAUAGGAGCUCGAAUUUUGUGACUUACAAUGUUACUAAGCACGCAUUUUUGUUCGGAAUUGGCCGUGGUGUUUGGUUAGGCUUUGCCGGAGAUUUGACCUUUAUCCCUAUAAAUGUUACGACAGAUUAAAUAAAGCUUGACAAGGUUGUCUUAAAAAAAAAACUAAC
rnacentral:lncRNA from 1 species